AGGGUCGGUUCGGCCGGAUUUCACACAGGUGUUGCAUGGCUGUCGUCAGCUCGUGUCGUGAGAUGUUGGGUUAAGUCCCGCAACGAGCGUAACCCUCAUCCUUAGUUGCAUCAGGUAAUGCUGAGCACUUUAAGGAAACUGCUAGUGAUAAACUGGAGGAAGGUGGGGAUGAUGUCAAGUCAUCAUGGCCCUUAUGGAGUGGGCUACACACGUGCUACAAUGGUGGCUACAAUGGGCUGCAAAGUCGCGAGGCCAAGCUAAUCCCUUAAAAGCCAUCUCAGUUCGGAUUGUACUCUGCAACUCGAGUGCAUGAAGUUGGAAUCGCUAGUAAUCGUGGAUCAGCAUGCCACGGUGAAUACGUUCUCGGGUCUUGUACACACUGCCCGUCACGCCAUGGGAAUUGGUUUCACUCGAAGCUAAUGACCUAACCGCAAGGAGGGAGUUAUUUAAAGUGGGAUCAGUGACUGGGGUGAAGUCGUAACAAGGUAAGCGUAGUGCU
rnacentral:rRNA from 1 species